CUAAUACAUUCGGUAUAAGUGUCGAUGUACAAUUUUUUUAUGAGUAAGAUGGUUUUUUAAUUGUAAGGUAUUCGUUCAGUUAAUUCUAACAUCAGUGUACUGUUCUGUUCUCACAAAAAUUAGGGUUUAUCAAAAAGCAAUAUUCGUUCCUUCAGUUCUCCCUCAUGAGUGAAUGGGGGUGGGGUGACAUGUUGCAAGUGACGUAGAACCGGCUGUUUAACUCGGAAGCUACUGCAGGAGAGAAGCAUGAAGGAGAAAAAAAUGACCGACAGUGACCUCCACCUAGAGUUGUAGCUGUUGUGUUUCCGGCGAUUUGUGAAAUGCAACUCAUCUUGUAGUACACAUACAUGAUAUUACGAUAGGUAUUUGAAAAAAUAUAUAGAUUACCGAGUGAAAAUCCGGUGUGAGCUUCCUCUCUUUUCUUAUUAGCCUUACUGUUAGCUCUGUGUUGUCUGUUUAAAAUCAUGGAUAAGGCGAAAUCAAUUGCGGAACAGAACGGAUUAGGUAUUUGUCACGCGAAUGGACUGCAAAAUGGCUUUCAUUCUCAGCCACUAACCAACGGAACGUGUGCUCAUGGUCCAAAUGGAAGCGGUGGUACUAGUAGUAGCGGUGGCCAUAGUGGAAUCGAAAAUUUCCACCAUCUUCAUCAGGACCUACAGAAUAAUGGAUCCCCUGCUAAAAGGUGCAGACUUCGUAGAAGAAUGGACUCGGGAAAGAAAAACAGACCGCCCUUCCCCUGGUUUGGGAUGGACAUCGGCGGGACCCUGGUGAAGCUGGUGUACUUCGAGCCCAAGGACAUCACGGCGGAGGAGGAGCAGGAGGAGGUGGAGAACCUGAAGAGCAUCCGCAAGUACCUGACCUCCAACACAGCCUACGGGAACACGGGCGUCCGGGACGUGCACCUGGAGCUGAAGAACCUGACCAUGUGCGGCCGCAAGGGCAACCUGCACUUCAUCCGCUUCCCCACCCAGGCCAUGUACCGCUUCAUCCAGAUGGGCCGCGACAAGAACUUCUCCAGCCUGCACACCACCCUCUGCGCCACCGGCGGCGGGGCCUACAAGUUCGAGGAGGACUUCAGAACGGUGGCCGACCUUCAGCUGCUGAAGCUGGACGAGCUGGACUGCCUCAUCCAGGGCCUCUUGUAUGUUGAUUCUGUGGGGUUCAACGGCCGCCCGGAGUGCUACUUUUUCGAGAACCCCUCUGACCCUCAGAACUGUGAAAAGAGUCCGUGUUGUCUGGACAACCCCUUCCCCAUGCUGCUGGUGAACAUCGGUUCCGGGGUCAGCAUUCUGGCCGUAUAUUCCAAGGACAACUACAAACGGGUCACGGGCACCAGCCUGGGCGGAGGCACGUUCCUGGGCCUCUGCUGCCUGCUGACCGGCUGCGAGACCUUCGAGGAAGCCCUGGAGAUGGCGGCCAAGGGGGACAGCACCAACGUGGACAAGCUGGUGAAGGACAUCUACGGCGGGGACUACGAGCGCUUCAGCCUGCAGGGCUCUGCCGUGGCGUCCAGCUUUGGUCACAUGAUGAGCAAGGAGAAGAGAGACACCAUCAGUAAAGAGGACCUUGCCAGAGCCACUCUGGUCACUAUCACCAACAACAUUGGCUCUAUCGCUCGCAUGUGUGCGGUGAAUGAGCACACAGCAAAUGAAGACAUUUUAACCCACAGCUGGCAUUUUCAGUUUCAUAAAUAGAUGGCAACAUAACCCAAGUCAGUGCAGGAACGGUCAACAAGAUAUGUUUGUUUUAUACUUGAACUUUACUGUAUUUAGAUAGGAACUGACAGACAGUUGUUUUGUUAGACGUGGUUGUAAUAAAGCCUGCUCAAGUCGUGGUCGUUCUCUUUCAGAAAAUCGAAAGGGUCGUUUUUGUUGGGAAUUUCCUGCGAAUCAACACAGUGUCCACAAAACUGCUGGCGUAUGCCAUGGACUUCUGGUCUAAAGGACAGCUUAAAGCUUUGUUCCUGGAGCAUGAGGGUUAUUUUGGUGCGGUGGGUGCCUUCCUCGAACUGCUGAAGAUGACGGACGACCUGUGAGGGGACACAGAACACCUCUCAACUGAGAAGCUGCUGUGAAGAUAUGAGAGAGCCACUAUAUGAACUGGGGAAAAGCCAUUUUAGUAAUUUAAUGACUGUAAAUAUUGCAAUUUUUUCCCUCUCUUUUCCCCUCAGAUAAAGAUUUUUAGUAACUAAUUUAAAUCCUAAUGCAGUCUGGAGAUGAGGUGGAUAUACGUGAGCUGUUCACAAGCAAACUUUCCCGGUACUGUGUGUAAAUAUAUAUAUGUAUAUAUAUAUGUGUGUGUGUGUAUAUAUAUAUACAUAUAUAUGUAUUUUUAGAAAGUGCGCUAACGCCAAAUCCUACUGACCUUUUUGUUCUAAUUUCAUUGCUGUUUUUUUAUUUUUUAUUUGUUGUUAGUUUUAAAGUUGUGAGGACCUACUCAAGAAAAUGGACCGUAGGCGUAAUCAGUGAUCGCCCUGUCUCUCCAUACCAUCUGUGUCCAUUGCUUCCAUCAUGGUUCACAGUCCCUGCAAUCUCAUGUUCAUAGCAGGGGGAAGUGUCCUGGUCAGUUUUUGUUCAGGUACAAGUGGGACGAAUCAAGCAAUGGUAAUUGGUCAUUACAAAACAGCUUGUUGUCUGGACCCGUACUAGCAAAGGAGAUUGACCCUGCUGGUAGUCUUUUUGAGAUAGCCAGGUCUUGGAUCAAUUGUUAAUGUCCUCUGUAUCACAAUUUAUGCAGUAUUUUGAUGCUUUCAUGAACUCCAUCCCUCACAAACCUUUUUUGUCGGUGUGGAGAAAGCCGCAUUCACCCAGAAAGGCUGUGUAUUUUGGCGAAAAUCUUUUGCUAGAUCUGUCACAAAAAAAAAACAGUACAACAAAGAUAGAGGGUCCAUUUUCUUUACUCUUCUGAGGUGUACUUUUAAUCAGAAUCUGGUGAUUUUUGUAUUAUGUGUGUUAACAAUGAGUACCCCUAGGAGAUUUUUCUAUUUGACCUUUUGGUUAAUUUUCAUGACAUUUCAUGAUAGUAUCUUGGUUUCAAGUGAAACUACAAAGCUGGCCUGUGAACUGCUAUACAUCGCACACACUCUCCUGCCUUUUUAAAAGGAUUUUUUUUGAGAAGUUUGACCUUUCCUGUAAACCUUAACUGUUCACGUAGAAAAGCCUCACCCAUGACUGUUGGAUAAGGCCUUUCCUGCAGUCCUGCAUAGUCUCCAGUGGUAGACAAUGAGCAAAUGACAGCGCUUCGGUAGAGUUCUAUGUCUUAAACCUCUGACCUUACUAAAUCCAAACCGCUUUAAAGCCUCUGGUCAAACCAUAACCCACGUUUUCCCAAUUUUUUUAUGAAUGUAAACAACGUAAUGGUUUCAGUGACCAUUGCAAUUAAUUUAAAAUGUCUUGUGAAAUAGAAAAAGUGCAAAUGGUUGUGGUUACGUGAAUCCUGUUAAAUACCUUCCAAAAAAAUAAAAAAUAUAAUGCACCACAUUUCUCAGAUGUAAACUGGCAGCUUAGCCAGUCCUUUAAAAGAGAACUCAAAAUGUAGAUUUUUGAGGGGUCUUCUUCCCCCUUUAUAUGUAAAUACACUGUAGAAUUUAAACACUGCGCUGAGUAGAGCCGGCUUGAAUUAAAUAAAGGACAUAAGUGGCUGCUAGGGCCCUGUAGCUGAUUGGGGGCCCCCCAUUUAUUUUAACAUAUGUAUAUUAUUUAUAAUGGUGCGUUGGGGAGGGGCCCGAAUCAGAACCUGUUUUGGGCACCUCAAAGGCUAGGGCCGUGGCUGGUGCUGAGGUUUCUCUUUCCCGCCUCUCGUGUUCGAAAAACAAAGAGCGGAACAUCUCGUUGCCUAAGUGGAAUUACUGGAAUUGUACUGCUGCCUGAAAAAAGUUCAGUGUCUUCAACGGAAUGUGGGGUUUCUGUAAGACUGGUUCUUAGUAGUUAAUCCUUUAUUAUUCCCUCCAUUUUCGUUCCUUUCAUCUCUCAGAAUUGGUAUUUGCCUCAUGCUGUUGGGUGCUGCAUUCUCGUCAAAUCGGAUGACAGCACUCUAACAAUGGCCGUGUGCCGUCGCGCUCGAACCCGUGAGCUGUAUGCGGUUGCCUUCACUGAAGAGCAGAGCCCAGGGAUCUUGUUCAAUGCUUUCUUUUUUUGUCCGAGAUCGAAACUCUUUUUUGUUUUGCGGUGUUGGUGUUGUUUGACUUUGUAAUGUUGUUUUUUUUUUUUUGUGUAUUGUUUUGUGUGCUUUUGCUGUGAACUGUUGUUUUGGCCUGAGACCACCGAUGAACUCAUUGCCAUCACUGUAGAUUGUUUUAAAGCUAUAACUUCAAUUUUGUUGCACAAUUCGCCAAGGACGCCUAUGCGUCUCACUUAGUGAGUUCAUCGCUGUUUCUCCUACGGCUUCUCUGGCGUGCAUCCAGGAAAUGGUUGUUGGCGUUCCGGUGAGUGCAGGCAUAGGAACGGGAAUGAGCAGUCAUGUAACGAGGAACACCGUUCACCAUUGACCCCAUCCAGCAGCUAUGCAUGGAGUGAAUUAAACCCCGUCUUUUUAUAACCCGAAUCCAUGGCAACCGUUUUAACUUGAAUCGGCUGAUGGCUCUCGGCAGUUGCAAGAGAGACGACGGUGCGAGUGAAAUUGUGAAUGGGCAAUGAACACACGUUUUACGCCUUGCUCAUUGGAACCCUGAGGCUUCCAAUCUCUGCCUGUGGAGACUUUUUAAAAAUGUAUUUAUUUUUUUAUCAUGGCGUCUCGCGGUAAUGUGUUCUUGCCGGUUUUCUCCAUUCUCUGUUGAUAAUCAUGUUCAAUGACUACUGAGGAAGUAUUCCAUAAAAUUCUACUGUAUUUUCAUAACACUACCAUCUGGUAUUUUAGACUGAUUUUAUGCAGUUUACCCCUAUUGGUCAGCUAAGUACAUUUAAGACACUAUUUUGUUUAUUUUUUUAUAAUGUAACAAUGAUUGUGUCCUCAGUUUUGCAAAUUGUGUUUAUGAAAUGAAUAUAAUUGCACUUUGCAAAAUGUCUGAAAUACCAACUGAAACCAUAAUGUACAACAUGGCUCUUUUCACAAGAAUUGCCUUCUGAAUUGCCAUAUGUAUUAAUUAAAUCGGUGUUUGCUUCCUUGGUUAAUAAUAAUUACUAAAUCAUACCUUCAUUAAUGAAAAUAAUUCAGAGUGCAGAGAGACUAUUUUCCUUCAUUCAUAUACAUGUGUUCUGAAAUAUUCAUUAUUGAUUAGACAGGAUUUUAAUCUACCAUAAUUUGUGUAGCAAUUAAUGUUAACAUGCUAUGCAGAUGAAUUUAUAAUGAUCACUUAUCAAUGUUUUCUGAUGCUGCAAAUGUGCUGUCCUUCUGUGAUAGUUCAACAAACUACUUACUGUUUUGUAAAUACUCAGUAAAUGUGGGAAUUAUGCAAACUGAUUAUUAUUCUGAGUCAUAUUUUUUUAAAUGAAGACAUUUUAAAAUGAAGACGUUUGUUUUGAAACGGAAAAUAAUUAUGUUGUAUUUAAAUAUACCUGGCAAAAUCCCUGAAUGCCAAUGUUUUUUUUUGUCCAUCUGUAUGUACACUUUAUACACAACUCACUUUGAAGGAAAAUGCCAGCGACCUGUCUGCUAAUGAUUCUGUCUAUGUAACUGAUGGCUUACCUUGCUAGCUUUAUGGAAAUGUUAGUGAUGCAUGUGCUUAAUUUUAAGAGAAGUUGAUCAGAAAAAUAAAAAAAUGAAUGAGGG